AUACGGAGGGUGCAAGCGUUAUCCGGAAUCAUUGGGUUUAAAGGGUCCGUAGGCGGGCAAAUAAGUCAGAGGUGAAAUCCCACAGCUCAACUGUGGAACUGCCUUUGAUACUGUUUGUCUUGAGUUAUCGUGAAGUAGAUAGAAUAUGUAGUGUAGCGGUGAAAUGCAUAGAUAUUACAUAGAAUACCGAUUGCGAAGGCAGUCUACUAACUAUUGACUGACGCUAAUGGACGAAAGCGUGGGGAGCGAACAGUAUUAGAAACCCUAGUAGUCC
rnacentral:rRNA from 1 species